CCUACGGGAGGCAGCAGUGGGGAAUUUUGGACAAUGGGGGCAACCCUGAUCCAGCAAUGCCGCGUGUGUGAAGAAGGCCUGCGGGUUGUAAAGCACUUUAGGUGGGGACGAAGGCUAUUCUGCUAAUAGUAGAGUGGAUUGACGGUACCCACAGAAUAAGCACCGGCUAACUCUGUGCCAGCAGCCGCGGUAAU
rnacentral:rRNA from 1 species